ACGCUGGCGGCAGGCCUAACACAUGCAAGUCGAGCGGUAGAGAGAAGCUUGCUUCUCUUGAGAGCGGCGGACGGGUGAGUAAUGCCUAGGAAUCUGCCUGGUAGUGGGGGAUAACGUUCGGAAACGGACGCUAAUACCGCAUACGUCCUACGGGAGAAAGCAGGGGACCUUCGGGCCUUGCGCUAUCAGAUGAGCCUAGGUCGGAUUAGCUAGUUGGUGGGGUAAUGGCUCACCAAGGCGACGAUCCGUAACUGGUCUGAGAGGAUGAUCAGUCACACUGGAACUGAGACACGGUCCAGACUCCUACGGGAGGCAGCAGUGGGGAAUAUUGGACAAUGGGCGAAAGCCUGAUCCAGCCAUGCCGCGUGUGUGAAGAAGGUCUUCGGAUUGUAAAGCACUUUAAGUUGGGAGGAAGGGCAGUAAAUUAAUACUUUGCUGUUUUGACGUUACCGACAGAAUAAGCACCGGCUAACUCUGUGCCAGCAGCCGCGGUAAUACAGAGGGUGCAAGCGUUAAUCGGAAUUACUGGGCGUAAAGCGCGCGUAGGUGGUUCGUUAAGUUGGAUGUGAAAUCCCCGGGCUCAACCUGGGAACUGCAUUCAAAACUGACGAGCUAGAGUAUGGUAGAGGGGUGGUGGAAUUUCCUGUGUAGCGGUGAAAUGCGUAGAUAUAGGAAGGAACACCAGUGGCGAAGGCGACCACCUGGACUGAUACUGACACUGAGGUGCGAAAGCGUGGGGAGCAAAC
rnacentral:rRNA from 1 species